UGGACAAGCACUUGAGCAUUUUGGCAAAGCAACAUAUUGAGACACGUUUUGUAAAAAUUAAUGCUGAGAAAAGUCCAUUUCUGGCUGAGAAGUUGAAGAUCGUUGUUCUUCUAACCCUUGCUCUGAUCAAGAAUGCAAAAGUAGAUGACUAUGUGGUAGGAUUUGAUGAGCUUGGUUGAACUGACGAAUUCAGCACAGAGGAAUUGGAAGAUAGAUUGGCAAAAUGUCAAGUCAUCUUCCAUGAAGGUGAAUCAUCCAUAAAUGCUUCAAAAUCUAGUGCACAAACCAGGAGAAGUGUAUGACAAAGUACGAGAUCAGACUCAUCAGAUUCAGAAUAAGUUAACAUUUCAGGUGUUUGAGAGCUUACUGGUUUGAUCUCUCUGGAAAGUGUCAAGCUGAAGAAAAAGAAGAAACACAAGAGAACAGAAAGGCCCAGGUUGGUAAUUCUUUUGACAUUUUUCCAGCACCAUUUGUUACAUAAGUGUGCCAUAUUCAGAUAUUCC